AUAUUUUAUAUAGUACAAACAUUUAUAUAUUAAAGAUUAAAAACUUUGGGAAUACAUUUUUCCCCCAAGUAGAAAACAAAGGUAAGUAUUAGGAUUCUGAAAUUACUUGUUAGUUUACAUGGACUUGACCAAGCCUAGGUUCUCCUGUUUCUUGGUGAAGAGUCUGUAAACAUUUACAUUUCAUUACAGAAACUGUGUACUUUUAAGAAUGACAUCUUAGAAUUUUGGAGAGGUCCUCAGUCUGUGCAUUUUCCUUAUGCACUUGGCUUUAUUUUAUCACUUUAAAAUAAUUGUAGUUUAAUGGUAGAUUUAGAUGUAUAAUUGUACUUUUUAUUAAUGAGAAAAGACAAAAAUGAAGCAUUAGAGAUUAAAAUAGAAAGAUGGGCAUCAUAUAUGAAACGCUGUGGAGACUGUAGAUUAAAUCAAUGUAAAUAACAAUAUCACUACUUGAAAAAUGCAUAGUGUUUGAAUCAAAGAAAAUCAUAACAAACCUUACAAGCAGUUAUUUAAGUAGACCAUACAAUAUGUGAUCUUUUGUGUCUGCUUUCUUUCACUUAGUGUAGUGUUUUUGAGAUUCAUCCAAGUUGUAGAAUAUAUCAGUUCUCUUUUCCUUUUUAUGUCUGAAUGCGCGCGCGCACACACACACACACACACACACACACACACACACACACACACAUAUGCAAUACAUACAUACCUCAAUUUGUUUAUCCGUGUAUCCACUUAAGGGCAUGUGGGCUGUUUCUAUCCUUUGGCUAUUAUAAAUAAUGCUACUAUAAACAUUCACGUACAAGUUUCUGUGUGGAUAUGUGUUUUCAUUUCUCUUAGGUGUAUACCUAGGAGCAGAAUUUCUGAAUCGUAUGGUUAUUCUGUGUUUGCCUUUUUGAAGAAUAGCCAAAUUGUUUUCCAUAGCAGCUGUACUAUUUUGUAUUCCCAACAGAAUGAUAGUUGUUUUGGUGGAGGGACUGAUUCUAGAGCUUCCUACUCUGCCAUCUUCCAUGACACUGCUCCCUGCCAUGUCCACUCUUAAAAGUGUUCCAGUUUGGAAAUAAUUUUUUUGGUCACCCAUUGGAUUAAUGGGCAAAACAUGAACUUCACUCUGAAUUUCUCCUGAAAUUUUAAUUUAAAGUUUACUUUUUCAAGACUCAUUUUGAAUUACAGAGAUCAUCUUCUACCUGUAGCCUCUUUUGGGAGGAUUUCCAAAAGAAUCCACUUCAAGGAAACACAGACUUGAAAACUCUCCUCCAUGGUUUUGUCUGAACUGGCUGCCAUUCGGCAGCACACACUGGAUCCAGUUGCGGAAGUGGGGGAACCUGAGAGGUGCGUGAGCUGGCAAGAGUGACCAUUUAGGCGCGUGAGUCCAGUGGGCCUGCGUGAAAGGAUGUAGAUGUACUGUCUGUAGGACAGGGGUAGACUGAAUACCUGCUUCACUGAAUACCUGCUUCACAUCACCUUUCACAUUUUCUUAUUGGAAAGACAGCCGUUGGAGAAUCAUCUUGUUACCAUCAGCAAAAAUGCAAACAAAUCAAGACAUUAAGAAUGCCACAGUGGCCAGCAGUUAAUGAUGCCAGUGUCACACAAGCUUCGGCAAAGUUUUCAAGACAGUGUGCCUCACUAGCCCAUAAAUCAGGAAAGAUUGAACUUAUCCUUUUUUGUCUCAGCUGUUACUUAAAUCAAUGCAACCCCUCCCAAUUAAUGUGAAUUGAAACAUGCAUUGUCUUUUCAGCUUAAUUGAGUACUUACUAUGUGUGAAUCACUGCACAAAAUAGGGGAGGGAAAAUGAGGGAGAAAAUUAGGAUGUUUCCUGCCUUCAAUGGAUUUACAAUUAGUUUCAGGGCACUUUUUUUCUUCUGCUCUUAAUUAAGUGUGUCCCUAAGAUAGAAAACAAAUGAAUGGAAAAGUGUAUUCUGCAAGUAUUUUAAAUCCCUUUAAUAAAACACAAAACAAAACAAAACAAAACGAAAUAAUCUAAUGUGGGCAACUCAGGACAUCUUCCAUUUUUUUGGAGUUUCAAUAGGUAGGAUUUAUUUCAUUGAUUUUAUAAAUAUUCAGUAGAUGUUAGAGAUAUUAACACAUUAUAGUUGGAGUUAAUUGAAUUAAAUUCUUUUUUUUCCCCUUUAGGUGUAGAUUGUCUGUUGGAAAAGUAUUUUGUGUUUGUACAUUUCUUGCAGAGUAGGUAGAUGAAUUACAUCUGUUGUCUCUGUAGGCCUCUACCUUCUGUGCCCUAGGGGCCUGACAUUCUGAGUAAGUUAUUAGCGUGGGGAAGGGAAGAUUUGGAUCAAACUUGGGAAAGCUCAUGGACCCAAGAUAGGGCAGGGAAGGAGCAAAACAGACCUAGGCAGUGACUCUGUAGGAAAACUUGGCUGUUUUAGUAUUCAUUGUGUUGUCUGCUAUGUUCCAAAAUUACUGUACAGUUUUUUCAAAAAUUUAUUUCUGAUCUGGGAAUAAGUCAUGAUUUUUCCAAUGUUAAGGCACUAAUAUGACUGCAGACACUAGACAUUUUAUGUAGUGUAUGUAACACAUUUUAGCAUGUACGAACCAACAAUAGACAUGUCUUUGUCUUCAGUAGUGUCCAUCUGAAUUGAAAAUGUGCCAGCUUUUUUUUUCUUAAAAUCAUUAUCAACAGACUUCUUAAUUAAGCUGCCAAUACAUACUGCCAAUAGCACUAUGUGCCCUUUGAGAAAUGAAUCGUGUAAGUGCUGUUUUCCUCUUACUGAAUAAACAAUGUUGCUCCAUAGAAAGUGGAUUUAAAAUGUUCUUUGAAUAGGAAAUUAUAUUGCUUCCGAAAGAAUUCGAUAAGAAUUCUCAUACCUUCCUUUCUUUACUUAAUUUCCAAAAACUUUUAUUUGCUCCUCAAUAAGGAAUAGUUCUAAUUUGACUGAUAACUUUAGUUGUAUGAGUCAUCCUUAAUAGGAUGCCUGCCCCCAAACUCCUGAUGGUGAUAUGGGAUAUUUGUUAAUCUGAGUUACAAAACUAUAUUGUAUGAAACUGUAGCAUUUGUUUCCUAUUCUGGGAAAAAUUUGUGGAGGGACCAUCUCUGUGUUCCCAGAACCUAGCACAGUACCUGGUGCAUAGUAAGUAUAUGUUGAGUAACAUUUGGUGAUUAAAAUGUGUAAAGUAGC